CCUACGGGGGGCUGCAGUGGGGAAUUUUGGACAAUGGGGGCAACCCUGAUCCAGCCAUGCCGCGUGCGGGAAGAAGGCCUUCGGGUUGUAAACCGCUUUUGUCGGGGAAGAAAUCCUCUGGGCUAAUACCUCGGGGGCAUGACGGUACCCGGAGAAUAAGCACCGGCUAACUACGUGCCAGCAGCCGCGGUAAUACGUAGGGUGCAAGCGUUGAUCGGAAUUACUGGGGGCGGUCUUUGCGGACAGAUGUGAAAGCCACGUGCUCAACCUGGGAACUGCAUUUGUGACUGCAAGGCUGGAGUGCGGCAGAGGGGGAUGGAAUUCCGCGUGUAGCAGUGAAAUGCGUAGAUAUGCGGAGGAACACCGAUGGCGAAGGCAAUCCCCUGGGCCUGCACUGACGCUCAUGCACGAAAGCGUGGGGAGCAAACAGGAUUAGAUACCCCUGUAGUC
rnacentral:rRNA from 1 species